UGGGGAAUAUUGCACAAUGGGCGAAAGCCUGAUGCAGCGACGCCGCGUGAGGGAUGGAGGCCUUCGGGUUGUAAACCUCUUUCGCUCAUGGUCAAGCCGCAACUGUGGGUUGUGGUGAGGGUAGUGGGUAAAGAAGCGCCGGCUAACUACGUGCCAGCAGCCGCGGUAAUACGUAGGGCGCGAGCGUUGUCCGGAAUUAUUGGGCGUAAAGGGCUUGUAGGCGGUUGGUCGCGUCUGCCGUGAAAUUCUCUGGCUUAACUGGGGGCGUGCGGUGGGUACGGGCUGACUUGAGUGCGGUAGGGGAGACUGGAACUCCUGGUGUAGCGGUGGAAUGCGCAGAUAUCAGGAAGAACACCGGUGGCGAAAGCGGCUCUCUGGCUUGUAACUGACGCUGAGGCUCGGAAGCGUGGGGAGCAAACAGGAUUAGAUACCCUGGUAGUCCACGCCGUAAACGAUGAGUGCUAGGUGUUAGACCCUUUCCGGGGUUUAGUGCCGCAGCUAACGCAUUAAGCACUCCGCCUGGGGAGUACGACCGCAAGGUUG
rnacentral:rRNA from 1 species